rnacentral:rRNA from 1 species
GGGAAACUUACCAAGGCCAAACAGAGGUGGGAUUGACAGAUUGAGAGCUCUUUCUUGAUUCUUUGGGUGGUGGUGCAUGGCCGUUCUUAGUUGGUGGAGUGAUUUGUCUGGCUUAAUUUGACUCAACGCGGGAAAUCUCACCAGGCCCGGACACUGGAAGGAGAUUGAGCAAUAA